CAGUUUUUCAUCUUUACAGGGCAUGCAGACCUUUGCUACAGGGCCAGAAAAAGAACAGUGGAGGAAGUGUGGCUGUAAAGUAACAGAUGGCGUGUGGAUGAGUGAGGAUGGCAGACCUUGUUUACCCAAACAUUUCUUUUCACAUUAUUGUCGUUUGACACACGGGUUAGACCAUGUGUCAAAAGGGGGAAUGAUGAUGCAAAUGAAAGAGUUGUGGUUUACAAAAGGGUUUACAAUUUUUGCGGAAAACUUUUGCAAAAGAUGCGUUAUUUGCAAUACCUAUAAUGUUGCGCGAGGCGCAAAAAUGCCUCUGGUGUCCCAACCGCCACCGGCGGGACCCUUUGAAUAUUUGCAAAUGGACUUUGUCGAGCUAAAUCCAUGUGAAGGCAAAAGGUACUGUUUGGUGAUGGUGGACAUGUGGUCCAAAUGGACUGAGGUCUUCCCAUCAUCAAAACAGGAUGCAACAGCGGUAGCAAAAGCGCUACUGACUGAAAUAGUCCCGAGAUGGGGAAUUCCAUGGAAAAUUAGCUCUGACAACGGAAGACAUUUUGUGAAUGAGGCAAUAACACAAGUAGGCGAAUUUCUGGGUAUUGACAUAAGAACACACUGCGCCUACGCACCACGCAGCGGGGGUGGCGUGGAACGCCACAACCAAACCCUGAAGAACAAAUUGGCAAAAUGUUGUGAGGAAACUGGACUCACAUGGGUGAAAGCACUGCCGAUUGUUCUCAUGUAUAUGAGAAUGAGAAAGCGAGUGAGAUCAAAUUUGAGCCCGUACGAAAUUUUGUUCGGUAGACCACCACAUGUGGGGUUAGAAGGGGGAAAACAACCCUGCCAUCCACAGAGCUGUGUGAGCACGACAUGCUGAGUUACUGCAAAGAAAUGUCUUCUCUGUUGUCCAAUAUUUGUGUGCAGGUGAAAGCAGCACAACAAAAGGUUGCAGAGAAACCCCUACACGCCUUUAAACCAGGGGACUUCGUGGUGAUACGUGACUUCAGGCGAAAGAGCUGGAGGGCAAAAAGGUGGCGGGGACCGUUCCAGGUGCUUCUGACCACGCAUACAGCUGUAAAAGUGGCAGAAAGGGCGACGUGGGUGCACGCCAGCCACUGCAGGAGAGUUCCAUCAACAACCCAGGAGGGGGAGCGGGAGCGAGCACAAGAUAACAGCCAGCAGUAGCCAGGAGAGAGCGUAAACACCAGACACAUCAGUGUGGAAGCAAGCAACAGAGAAAAGGAGGGGAGCUAAUCUAACUUGUGAAUUGCAAAGGCUUCCAUGUGCAAAAUCUGGGGGAGUAUGCAAAAUGUUGGGUACAUCAUGUUGUUUCCAUAUUCCAGAUUACAGUGACAACGUCACCAACAUAAUAGCACACAUGAGAAUGGCCGUAAAAGAGCCUGAAAAGGGCCAUGCAAAUGGAAUGGUGGACAACCCUCUGGGGAGGUUGGGGUUAUUGGAUUUGUACUACUGUAUUGCCAAUGAUUGGUGCAGGCCUUUUGCUGCUACUGUGUUUACCGUGCAUUUUGCAGUUCAUUUCCAGCUCAGUACAGAGACUGGUGACCUCUAGCGUCUCACCGAAGAUGGUGAAGCUACAUGUCGGCAAUGAAAAUGUGGUGAUAGGGUUUGACUUAGAGAAAACAAUUGAUGAUGAUGAUAGCAGCAGCGGAGCCUACAGUGAAAUUUAAUUAAGGAAAACAAAAGAAUAAGACAAAUGACGAAACUUCACGAGGGGAAGGGUUUGCCUGUCUUUAUGUCUAUGACUAUACUGUAUGCUUUGCUAACAAAAGGGGGAUCCCAAACAAAAAGCCUUAGCAUAUUCGACUUUUUUUUUCAAAAACUUAAGAGAAUGAUCAUUUAUGCGAAAGUCAGAAAUGAAGAGUAUAAAUGUGAUGCAAUAACUUGAGUUUUCCUAUAUUUUGGUAUUAUGAGUUACAAGAGUAAUAGCAAGUAAACAAGAUACAUAAUCAUAGAAGUGCGUAAUCAGUAGUGAUGAUAGUUUUGAGUUGUAUAAGUAACAUUUCUGUUUGGUGUCUGUGAGGUGACUGAGGGUCUGACACAUGUCAGGAAUGCAAUAACAGUGCUUAUUCGUUUAGCCCGGCUUCCAGAAAACAAAUGUGAAGAUGUGUUUGAUUUUAUGAUUUGCAUGUUAGUAGACAAUUGAGAAUGUGUAACAUGGUAAUGAAUUUUUGAUGACUAGUGAUCAAUGAAUGAUAAAAAGGGGGAAAUUGUUGGGGAAAAUUCAUUUAUGGGUGAUUUUUGCAUGCUUACGUGACAAACUUGUGUGUAAGGUGUGGGGAAAACAGCAGGUGGUAAAGUGCUGAUCAGACUCCUGGGUAAAAAAGGGCCUCUGUGCCUUAUAGGGAACAACUGGGAACUGGGGACCCCACGUCCGCCAUGAAGCUGACCCCAGGGGUCAGAGAAAGCAUAAAUAUGUAUAGGGAAUGCUGAGAAGGGAUGAUCUAUAGAGUUGUUUUUGCAGGUUUUCUUUCCUUAUAUGACAGCACGGGCUGUUUUUAGUAUGUAACCAGAGAUAUAAAGCGGAGACGAUAACUCCCUCCUUUGUCACACUCGGCAGGGCGCUGUAUCUGUUUGACUGUGAACCUUUCUUGCAAGAAAUAAACCUUUAAAACGCA